GUACCUGGACCAGUACUAGAGUUAACAGAGCCUAGAACACCCAGUCUCCCUGAGGCCAUGAGGACAACAGACCAGGAACACACCAGACUCUUUAUUCACUCAGUCAUCAGGUAAGAACGACUCUUUAUUCACUCAGUCAUCAGGUAAGAACCAGACCCUUUAUUCACCCAGUCAUCAGGUAAGAAUCACUCUUUAUUCACUCCUUCAUCAGGUAAGAACCAGACCCUUGAUUCACUCAUUCAUCAGGUAAGAACCUGAUUCUUGAUUCACUCAUUCACCAGGUAAGAACCUGACCCUUUAUUCACUCAGACAUCAGGUAAGAACCAGACCCUUUAUUCACUCAGACAUCAGGUAAGAACCAGACCCUUU